rnacentral:lncRNA from 1 species
CCUCAAAGUGUACCCUAUUUUGUACUCCUACUGUUGUCUAACUAAUUUCAUUAGGUUUGAAAUUAGUUAAACGAUGGGAAAGUGAGGUGGAAAUUGAUUUCCUGGACAUAUGAAUUAAGAUAAUAAGAGGAGAAUAUAGUCUCAGCAUUUUCCACAACGAUAGUUAUGCACUGUUAUUCAUACUGGCAACAUCACAGGAACCAUGAUCAUACAAAAUGGCCAUGUUACAAAGGUUGGGUACUCACUGCACAACAUACCAAAGCCAAAUGGAAGAACUACAGUGGAUUAUAAAACAAGUUGUGAAACAUGGAUACAACGAGAAUUUGAUUUAAAUAUGUGGAAUAAACUAUCUAGGAGAAUUGACAAGAAUAAUAAUCCAGUAGAUAAUCAUCUUAAGAAGUUUAUUAAUGUGGAGAUCAACUCAAUUACCUUGAAGUACAGACAUAAGAUUGAAAAAUACACUAACUCACACUUAGUCUUCA